AGGCAUGCAAGUCGAGCGAGAACCCGCAAGGGGGACAGCGGCGAACGGGGUAGGACAACGUAGGUAACGUACCCUCGGGGCGAGGACAGCCACGGGAAACUGUGGGUAAUACUCGAUAAACUUCCCAAUCAUUAUGGAAGGGGAAGCAAUGGGUGUGAUUCCACCUGAGGAGCGGCUUACGCAGUAUCAGCUAGUUGGUGAGGUAACGGCUCACCAAGGCUACGACGCUUAGGGGGUGUGAGAGCAUGGCCCCCACCACUGGCACUGAGACACUGGCCAGACACCUACGGGUGGCUGCAGUCGAGAAUCUUCGGCAAUGGACGCAAGUCUGACCGAGCGACGCCGCGUGCGGGAUGAAGGCCUUCGGGUUGUAAACCGCUGUCAGAGGGGAUGAAGUAUACGGGAGUUAUCUCCUGUAUUUGACAGAGCCUCAGAGGAAGCACGGGCUAAGUUCGUGCCAGCAGCCGCGGUAAUACGAACUGUGCGAACGUUAUUCGGAAUCACUGGGCUUAAAGGGUGCGUAGGCGGUUAUCUAAGUCAGGUGUGAAAUCUCUCGGCUCAACCGAGAAACUGCGCUUGAAACUGGGUGACUGGAGGAAUGCAGGGGUGUGUGGAACUUCCGGUGGAGCGGUGAAAUGUGUAGAUAUCGGAAGGAACGCCAGCAGCGAAAGCGGCACACUGGGCAUUUACUGACGCUGAGGCACGAAAGCUAGGGGAGUGAACGGGAUUAGAUACCCCGGUAAUCCUAGCCGUAAACACUGAGCACUGGAGGAGGGAGGCUUCGGCCUUCUUUCUCGUAGCGAAAGCGUUAAGUGCUCCGCC
rnacentral:rRNA from 1 species